rnacentral:lncRNA from 1 species
CAACCCAUUUUCUCACCCUCUCCUUAAUGGGUUUUGGGGAAAAAAUGAGGUUCCGGCUCCCAAGGAAGGUGGGGAUAGACAGGGGUUUCGCCUUGCUGGAUCUGAGUCCAGGGAAGAGGGUGCUGGGGUGAGGGGGAAGUGGGUGCCAAGGGCCCUGAUAGAGUCACACAGCCACAGAACCUGCCAGUGGCUUCUAGGCCGAGGCCUUGGUUUUACAGCUAAGACACCAGGGUCCUUGGUGACAGUGGCUUCCGGAACAGGAUAGGAGUUAAUGUCAAAAUUGGAUUUGAAAUCCAGGCCCUGCAAGUCUCCAGUGGGUGCUGCUCAGGUCCCACUGGGAUAGUCAGCUGGGCGGCGUUCUGUAACAGAACCCUAGUCAGGCCGGGCACCUGGGGACAUGCUGGGUUCACCUCAUGGGGGUGGAAUGUGUUGUCACACCUGGCCCCACGGGUCAGAGGGUCUGCCCCCCUCACUUCCUUUGGACAUCUGCUGAGGUCCCUCAGUGUCCGCACAGGUUCACACUGGGGCGUUACAGCCCUGACGGUGCGGCAGGACAGGAGGACAUUCCCAUGGAGCCACGGGUUCCCUCUGAAGCCGUGUCCACAGCCAGCUCUGCAUGUCCGCACGUAGGGGUGCACAGCCCAACCCCAGCACCACACCCCAGCCGCAUGCAGCUUCAUUCUUGUUCUCACUUCUUGCUCCCAGCAUGGAGGUCUAGAAUGCAAAGGAUCGUAAUGAAUUUCAUCCAGGUGCCAGGAGCCCAAGACAAAGAAGCCCACCUCAGCCCCAAGCAAGUGAAGAGCAGAUGGAGGGCUGAUCUCCUGAGCAGAGGCCCCAGGGAGCAACGGGGGAAAUUCCCCAGCAAAAUUCACCAGAGUGAGAGGCUUGCUUUUCUAUUUGUUUUUGAAAUAAUAACCACUACCCCCAAACCUCAGGAUCUCUUCUUUCCAGUUAUUCUUUGUAAACAUCACGCUGAGACCCCUUGAAGCUUUAACUCUUUGCACCCUGGACAAGUAUGGUUCCUUCUGGCUCUUCAUCCUUUCCUGCUUCUAGCAAUUAAAAACAAACAAACAGGGCUGGGGAUUUAGCUCAGCGGCAAAAGCGCCUGCCUGGCAAGCGCAAGGUCGUGAGUUCGGUUCCUGGUACCAGAGAAAAACCAAAAAAAAAAAAAACAAAGAAAACAACCUGUGUCACUCAUCGCUUUGCAAGGUGGUCCCCGAGUCUUCUGACU